GACGAACGCUGGCGGCGUGCUUAACACAUGCAAGUCGAACGGUAAGGCCUUCGGGUACACGAGUGGCGAACGGGUGAGUAACACGUGGGUGAUCUGCCCUGCACUUUGGGAUAAGCCUGGGAAACUGGGUCUAAUACCGAAUAGGACCACGCGCUUCAUGGUGUGUGGUGGAAAGCUUUUGCGGUGUGGGAUGGGCCCGCGGCCUAUCAGCUUGUUGGUGGGGUAAUGGCCUACCAAGGCGACGACGGGUAGCCGGCCUGAGAGGGUGACCGGCCACACUGGGACUGAGAUACGGCCCAGACUCCUACGGGAGGCAGCAGUGGGGAAUAUUGCACAAUGGGCGCAAGCCUGAUGCAGCGACGCCGCGUGAGGGAUGACGGCCUUCGGGUUGUAAACCUCUUUCAGUAGGGACGAAGCGCAAGUGACGGUACCUAUAGAAGAAGGACCGGCCAACUACGUGCCAGCCGCCGCCGUAAAAC
rnacentral:rRNA from 1 species